rnacentral:tRNA from 1 species
UCCCAGGUGGUCUGGUGUUUAGGAUUUGGAGCUCUUAUUGCUGUGGCCCAGGUUCGAUCCCUGGUCUGGGAA